rnacentral:tRNA from 1 species
GGGCCUUAGCUCAGUUGGUAGAGCGCUGCCUUUGCAAGGCAGAUGUCAGGAGUUCGAAUCUCCUAGGCUCCA